GAUACUUUGAGAUUUCUCUAAUUUUUAAGUAUGUCCGGGGUCCACAAAACAUUGCAUUGAUACAAUAUGGUACAAUAAAAUACAAAAACAAUAUUAAUACACAAUAUACCGUAUUUUUUGCUACAUAAGACCAUAAGACACACCUAGUUUUUAGAGGAGGAAACCCAGAAAAGCACAAAGCACAACUAUAUGAAGAUGUGUCCCAUAGAUUGGAAGGCAGAGAGGAUUUGCAUGAAUCCAUAUAGGAGAGAUGGCUGUUACUGAGGCAGAGGUUCUAAGUGAAAAAAAAAAAAGGAUAAGGGAUAUCAAGGGGCAUGUUCUUGCUUCAUAUACACUAUGCAAGGACUACAACUGUGAAUAUAGUAGGAAGGAAUAUACUAAGACAAUAUGUGGGGUAAAGCCGUU